UUGAGAGGACCGUGCUGAGCACGGCCCGUAGAGGGUACUUUUGGAAUUUUAAAAAUGAUGUUCAAACGAUAAAUAGGAUAUAAAAUAAUAUAUGUACUUUUUAAUCUUUCUACCAAGUAUAAAGUGUAACACUAUAAAUGGUUAGAAUUUUCAAAGUACAUUGCCUAAAUAGGCUCCUUUAUUCGUAUUAAGUGAAAGAGAAACAACCAUAUGUAACUGUCUAGUCUAACUGUCUAAGUGCCUAGGAUAAAGGGCCCUUUUAAUGAAAAACUUAGCAGCAUCUGCAAAAAAGGAAAAUGAAACAUGUUAGGACUCAAAAACAGAAAGAAGUUCAUUCCAGAUCCAUGAAAAUAUUGGUACCUUCAUUUUUUUUUGCCAUUAUUUCAAAUAUGUUUCAAGUUUUACAAUAACACAUUUAACAAUUACAUUUUUUGAGAUGAGGGUUUUCUAAAUAUGCAUCUCAUUUUAUUAAUAUCUUGUACUUUCCACCUGAACCUAUAUAUCCAAUGGUAUCAAUUUCAACCAACAAAAAAAGGUCUACACAAUUUUAGUUAUCAUUUGAGGUUUAUGUGGCUUUUUGGUCUUUGUCCGAAGUAAAAUAUGACUUCACUUUUGGGACCAAAAUUGACAAAAUAGUUGUAGUGAAGGACAAAAGGCAUAAUUCACGUUUUUAUUUAUUUGUUUAUUUAUUAUUAUUAUUAUUUUUUAAAUAAGGAAAAGAAAUUUGGGUAUUUAAAGAAAAAGGAUUUAAAGACACAAAGAUAAAAAACUUGGUAAUUGCCAUGAAGCUGAGAACCGAGGCCCUCAGAGUAAUCAGAACCAAAUGAUACACCCUCUCUAGGAAAAGCUUCCAACACCGGAAAAUUUUGACCCACAUUGGUCAACCUCCAUAGACCCUUUAGAAGAUUUGGUUUCAAGUGCAGUCAACUAAAUGGAAACAUGCACCCUGAUUUUGCACUCGGUUGUUCCUACAACACAAAUAAACUUUAUUAUUAUAAAGGCAAAGCAUAUACUAAUUGAUAUCAUCAGCUUUAAUAUAACAAGAUAUGUGAAGGAAUCCGCAUUAGUUGAAUUUAUGGAAGAAUGAUUUGAGAUGUUAUGCCAUCCUAUAACAAAUUCAAUCACAAUACACUUAUAAUCAUUAAAUGCUUCCUUGAUCCAAUGUCACUCUGCUAAAAUUAAUACGUAAAAGGUUGGAAUUUGGAAAGGGCUAAUGCCAUAAAAACCCUCAAAUUUUCGAAAAAUGUUUGGUUAUAUCCUAAGUCCAUUUUUAUGUCAACAAAAACCGCACAUUUAAGCAAAAAUUGUUAUAAUUGCACUUUUUUCCGAUUUUACCCUCUAUGACAUUAGGGGGUGUUUGGUUACAAAUCAACACAUGUUAAAGGAUGUUUGGUAUUAGGGGAUGUUUGGGAAAGCACCUCCAGUGCUCGCUGCUUCAAAGAAAUCAGCGGAGAACAAUCAGCAGGAAGGAGGAGGAGGUGAUCGUUAGGAGCACGGUUCUUCUUCUUCUUCUUCGAAUAUAAUUUCCCGAUCCACCCUGUCGCUGCUUCAUUUUCCCCUCGAUUGGUGGUUGCCGACGACGAGAGAAGGACCACGAAGGGUCACCGGAAGUUGCAGGUCGCCGGAUUAUCCCUGAUGCCAAACAUCCCCUAACAUGUGUCUAUCUGUAACCAAACACCCCCUAAUGCCAUAGAAGGGUAAAAUCGGAAAAGAGGGCAAUAAAACACCGAUUCAAUAUGUAAAACUCCAAUAAGGUUUUAAUGUUUAUUUUUUGGUUGUAUGCCGUAUCAGAAAACUAAAUAUUAUCAACAGAUGUGGUGAAAAUUCAUGCAAAGGCACAACAUUAUUCUAAUUCAAAUAGGACAGAGUUUCCCACUA